rnacentral:misc_RNA from 1 species
GAUCGAGAGAGAAAAUUGAUGAGCGAAGGUGUUUUAACUUAUGCAUACAUACUUCUCUAUAUUUCCUUAUCGAGUGGUCAGAUCUUCUUCAACAAGUGGGUUUUAUCAUCAAAAGAAAUAAACUUCCCGUAUCCUCUUGCGCUGACGCUACUUCACAUGGUCUUCUCCUCAGUACUGUGUUUUGUGCUUACCAAAGUUCUCAAGAUAAUGAAGGUUGAAGAAGGAAUGACUCUAGACAUAUACAUUAGCUCAGUCAUCCCAAUUGGUGCUAUGUUUGCUAUGACGCUUUGGCUUGGGAACACAGCUUACCUUUAUAUUUCUGUUUCAUUUGCUCAGAUGUUGAAAGCAAUCAUGCCCGUAGCUGUCUUCAUCCUUGGAGUUGCAGCUGGACUCGAAAUGAUGAGCUGCAGAAUGCUUCUCAUAAUGUCUGUAAUCAGUUUUGGUGUACUAGUAGCUUCUUAUGGAGAAAUAAACAUCAACUGGGUUGGUGUCAUCUACCAAAUGGGAGGUGUUGUUGGAGAAGCUUUAAGGCUUAUAUUUAUGGAGAUUCUGGUAAAACGGAAGGGCCUCAAGC